GAUGAAGCCCACUUGUGGGUGGAUUAGUGGCGAACGGGUGAGUAACACGUGAGUAACCUGCCCUUGACUCUGGGAUAAGCCUGGGAAACUGGGUCUAAUACCGGAUAUGACUGAUCAUCGCAUGGUGGUUGGUGGAAAGCUUUUUGUGGUUUUGGAUGGACUCGCGGCCUAUCAGCUUGUUGGUGAGGUAAUGGCUUACCAAGGCGACGACGGGUAGCCGGCCUGAGAGGGUGACCGGCCACACUGGGACUGAGACACGGCCCAGACUCCUACGGGAGGCAGCAGUGGGGAAUAUUGCACAAUGGGCGCAAGCCUGAUGCAGCGACGCCGCGUGAGGGAUGACGGCCUUCGGGUUGUAAACCUCUUUCAGUAGGGAAGAAGCGAAAGUGACGGUACCUGCAGAAGAAGCGCCGGCUAACUACGUGCCAGCAGCCGCGGUAAUACGUAGGGCGCAAGCGUUAUCCGGAAUUAUUGGGCGUAAAGAGCUCGUAGGCGGUUUGUCGCGUCUGCCGUGAAAGUCCGGGGCUCAACUCCGGAUCUGCGGUGGGUACGGGCAGACUAGAGUGAUGUAGGGGAGACUGGAAUUCCUGGUGUAGCGGUGAAAUGCGCAGAUAUCAGGAGGAACACCGAUGGCGAAGGCAGGUCUCUGGGCAUUAACUGACGCUGAGGAGCGAAAGCAUGGGGAGCGAACAGGAUUAGAUACCCUGGUAGUCCAUGCCGUAAACGUUGGGCACUAGGUGUGGGGGACAUUCCACGUUUUCCGCG
rnacentral:rRNA from 1 species